UUUGAGUGACAAGCUUACCAUAUGUAACACCCCAAUAGAAGACUCAAACCAUAUGGCCUAUACUCGAAAAUGACUAGUCAAUGAUACAAUUAGUGUCCCAUUGGAACCUUAUAAAGAGUAAGAACUUCUCAUUCCCAAGAAAUGUGAGAUUCACCACCUACCAUUAUCUUUAUCAUAUGAGGUAUCACAAUCUUCCCCCCUUAAAUUUCCAGCGUCCUCGUCAAGUUUGUUUGUUGUAGGUGGCAAGGUUCAAGUCCCACAUUUCUGGUUGGGAUAGACUCUGAUACCAUUUGUAACACCUCAAUGGAAGACCUAAACCACAUGACCUAUACUCUAAAAUGACUAGUCAAUGAUACAAUUGGAGCCCCAUUAGA